AUUUAGUUCUCCGAAGUCAGGGUGAAUCGGCCUUAUGUUCCUGCCUCCAGACCCUUUUCUCCUGCCUCCGUGGAAUGGAUGGCAGGACAUGGAAAAGUGUUUUGUCCAAAUGACAUGUCCAAGGGCACUGGCAGCUGAAGGCAAGAGGGAACCAGUUAGUGCCACGGAGGAAUGCCCACCCCCGUCUCCACACCGCACAGAACAAAGUGAGUGUCCUUGUCCUGAACCCUCUGAGGUGAGUAUCUUGCCUCAGUGCUUUCAUGAAACCCUUUUUUGGAGAGACUCAUUCUCUCCCCUUCUGUACCUACAAGGCAGCAGGGAUAGCCCCUCUCAGGCUGAAGUUCUUCUAACAAAAAAGAGAAUAAAAUAAUAGAAUUAAUGUAACGAAUAGUAAAAUAAUGAAAAUGAAACUUUUUUUUUUACAGAAGCAGCUCUGGAAUUUCAUUUAUUGGCAUUAAAAGCAGAAAAUGGUCCUAUAGAGCUCAAUUUAAUGGCAAAGAUUAAGGAAAGAAUAAAGACUCUGCCUAAUAAUGGUGACAUGAGCUGUUCAUAUUGUCAUUUUCUCUGGGACCUAAUAUGGGGGAGGAGGCGGGACCCCGUGUCGCCAGGCCCCAGGUGAUUUUCACACUGUUUCCCCAAAUCACUGCAGCCUCUUCCCUGCUGGUCCCUUGAUGCUGCUGCUGUGCCUGGCGUCCUGUGGGACAAGAGUGCAACAGGGCGCUGGGCACCUUGGCAGCUUCCAGUGGGAUAGGCCUGCGGCAUUCUGAGCCUGAAUGCGGUGAUCACCAGGAAGUAAGGAGACACAAGCAGGAGGGGUUCCAGGAUGGAGGGGCCACUUCUCAGGGAUCAGUCUCAGGCCCCAGUUGGGAAGGAUCCCCUUUCAGGACAAUGGCUCCAGGCCAAGGGCAACGCUGUUUCUGUGCGUCCUGAUGACUGACCUGCGUCCACAGGGAAGCGUAUCUGGGCUCCUUUUUUCCAGGCUGUGUUGGGAGCACCUUGAAAUGGGCACUGGUGGAUUUCAAUUCCAGCCUUCCGGAAGCCAUUCCAAAUGGAAACUGAGCUAAGGGAU
rnacentral:lncRNA from 10 species